GGUCAGUCUCUUUUAUAAAACCUGUUAAAAGGCUACUACUUUGGCUGCUGCUGUGGCUUUUUUUUUUUUAAUCCUAAUAAUAAAGUAUUAUGAAGACAUCUUCUAUUAUGAAUUGCAGUAUUAGUGUGAUCAUGGACUUGUCUGUGCUUAUCCUGACAAGACACUAGACACUAACUCUGGUAAAAGGGGAACUCUACGAUUUUCCUUGAAAAAGAACAACAUUGGAUUCUUCACUGGGUACACUAAGAGUGAGAGAAAAGAGGACAUCUUGAAGGAUCUGAUCCUGAGAAGUCCUCCCUUCUUGAAGUUAAGUGACUUCCUCUGUAAAACAGGUCUGCUUGCUAUCUUUAGAAUAUCUCUAUCCAAGCUAGAGGAAUAAGGACAAAUCUGACAUCACAGACCAGACCACAGGAGGUGCUUGAGGCCUCUCUGAUCUUCUGACGCUAGCCAACACUGAAGAACUGUACACAACAGAACGCAAAGGUUGUACGGAAUACAGAACUACAGAACAGAGCUCUUGAGCUCAUCCUCCACAGCGUACAUAUUUCCCUUGCCUAUACGUGCUACUGCGACGAAGCACACCUCCUUUUUCAUAAUACCAGGCCUUUAUAGGUAAAACUUAAGGAACAAGGAAUUUGAUCUCUCAUAAGAAAGCAUGCAAACAUUGCAGCUCCAUCUUUGAUUGCUAGAAUAAGAAUGAGAUAAAGCUAGCAUGAAAUUAACAUUGAAUAAUGCAUUGCACUGCAUUGUUUUGACUAAUAAUAUUAAUAUUUUGGUCAUUAUUAUUAUUAAUAAUAAAUAGUAAUUACAAAUGUUGAUAUUUGGAUUA
rnacentral:lncRNA from 1 species